rnacentral:rRNA from 1 species
GACGAACGCUGGCGGCGUGCCUAAUACAUGCAAGUAGAACGCUGAAGGAGGAGCUUGCUUCUCUGGAUGAGUUGCGAACGGGUGAGUAACGCGUAGGUAACCUGCCUGGUAGCGGGGGAUAACUAUUGGAAACGAUAGCUAAUACCGCAUAAGAGUAGAUGUUGCAUGACAUUUACUUAAAAGGUGCAAUUGCAUCACUACCAGAUGGACCUGCGUUGUAUUAGCUAGUUGGUGAGGUAACGGCUCACCAAGGCAACGAUACAUAGCCGACCUGAGAGGGUGAUCGGCCACACUGGGACUGAGACACGGCCCAGACUCCUACGGGAGGCAGCAGUAGGGAAUCUUCGGCAAUGGACGGAAGUCUGACCGAGCAACGCCGCGUGAGUGAAGAAGGUUUUCGGAUCGUAAAGCUCUGUUGUAAGAGAAAAACGAGUGUGAGAGUGGAAAGUUCACACUGUGACGGUAUCUUACCAGAAAGGGACGGCUAACUACGUG